AACUGUAAUUCCCUUCAGAUCACUGUUAUGAGGUUAUGACAGAAUUAAUCAUUUCACUUACUCGUGCAGGACAAACAACACUUCAUAACCAAACAAACAUAAAACAAGAUAAUGAAAAAAACUAAAAGAAAUUCAUUCAUGGGAGGAGAUCUGUGGAGCAUCACAAACCGAAGGAGAAUUAAACGAAGAGAAAAAGAAAAAUGCCAAACAAAGAGAGCAAGAGACAAUCUACUGAACCAGGAGAGAAACAGACACAGAGACUAACCAGAACAAACAGCAUUAAUAGUGGAAAACCAAACUUUUCUGAUGAUCCAGACAGUUUUAUUCAGAGAGACUCACAGACGAGGAGCAGCUUCUUUCACCGGACCAGCAGAAUAUACUUUAUAUUCACUGAUUACAGUUCUUUACAAUCAUUUUGCAAUGAUAACAGAACCAUCUUGUAAUUUUUCAAAAGACACAAAACAUUAUUUGUAACACAGGCUGCCCAGUAUCCAAAACUUUACAUAUUGUGUUCAUAUCUUUAAAGAAGCCUUUUAUUUGCAGAAGAAAAAAAAUAAAUAAAUUGUUUUGGUUAGAUACCCAUAGUUUCACUGUAUUUGUUAUUACAAUCAUUAAAUAGAGUUGAACAAAA